AGAGUUUGAUCAUGGCUCAGGAUGAACGCUGGCGGCGUGCCUAACACAUGCAAGUCGAGCGAUCUUCUUCGGAAGAGAGCGGCGGACGGGUGAGUAACGCGUGGGUAACCUGCCCUGUACACACGGAUAACAUACCGAAAGGUAUGCUAAUACGGGAUGACAUAAGAAAUUCGCAUGUUUUUCUUAUCAAAGCUCCGGCGGUACAGGAUGGACCCGCGUCUGAUUAGCUAGUUGGUGAGGUAACGGCUCACCAAGGCGACGAUCAGUAGCCGACCUGAGAGGGUGAUCGGCCACAUUGGAACUGAGACACGGUCCAAACUCCUACGGGAGGCAGCAGUGGGGAAUAUUGCACAAUGGGCGAAGGCCUGAUGCAGCAACGCCGCGUGAGCGAUGAAGGCCUUCGGGUCGUAAAGCUCUGUCCUCAAGGAAGAUAAUGACGGUACUUGAGGAGGAAGCCCCGGCUAACUACGUGCCAGCAGCCGCGGUAAUACGUAGGGGGCUAGCGUUAUCCGGAUUUACUGGGCGUAAAGGGUGCGUAGGCGGUCUUUUAAGUCAGGAGUGAAAGGCUACGGCUCAACCGUAGUAAGCUCUUGAAACUGGAGGACUUGAGUGCAGGAGAGGAGAGUGGAAUUCCUAGUGUAGCGGUGAAAUGCGUAGAUAUUAGGAGGAACACCAGUAGCGAAGGCGGCUCUCUGGACUGUAACUGACGCUGAGGCACGAAAGCGUGGGGAGCAAACAGGAUUAGAUACCCUGGUAGUCCACGCCGUAAACGAUGAGUACUAGCUGUCGGAGGUUACCCCCUUCGGUGGCGCAGCUAACGCAUUAAGUACUCCGCCUGGGGAGUACGCUCGCAAGAGUGAAACUCAAAGGAAUUGGCGGGGACCCGCACAAGUAGCGGAGCAUGUGGUUUAAUUCGAAGCAACGCGAAGAACCUUACCUAAGCUUGACAUCCUUUUGACCGAUGCCUAAUCGCAUCUUUCCCUUCGGGGACAGAAGUGACAGGUGGUGCAUGGUUGUCGUCAGCUCGUGUCGUGAGAUGUUGGGUUAAGUCCCGCAACGAGCGCAACCCUUGCCUUUAGUUGCCAUCAUUAAGUUGGGCACUCUAGAGGGACUGCCAGGGAUAACCUGGAGGAAGGUGGGGAUGGCGUCAAAUCAUCAUGCCCCUUAUGCUUAGGGCUACACACGUGCUACAAUGGGUGGUACAGAGGGCAGCAAAGUCGUGAGGCCAAGCUAAUCCCUUAAAGCCAUUCUCAGUUCGGGUUGUAGGCUGAAACUCGCCUACAUGAAGCUGGAGUUACUAGUAAUCGCAGAUCAGAAUGCUGCGGUGAAUGCGUUCCCGGGUCUUGUACACACCGCCCGUCACACCAUGGGAGUUGGGGGCGCCCGAAGCCGGCUAGCUAACCUUUUGGAAGCGGUCGUCGAAGGUGAAACCAAUAACUGGGGUGAAGUCGUAACAAGGUA
rnacentral:rRNA from 1 species